ACAACCAUAAAACUGAAUAUACCUUUCUGAAUAGAAUUCUAACACAUAGAAAGUACCCCACUCUGCAUGCUUUUUUACUUUUCAAUGUACCCUUGGAGACUGAAAUAAUAAUUUGAUAUUCUCUGUCUGCUGGUGCUAGAUGGGCUUUUCCUUUAAUGAUGCAAUGCUUCCAGUGGCCAGAAAGUCUCAGGACAUUGACAGAAGAAUCUGUUGGAGCUUUGCUCCUUCACAUUGGUUUGCUGGUGAGCACCAUCUCUGACUGUUUCCAUUCAACAAGCUCUCUGACACUACAAGAAGCUCUCUCUUCAUCUGGUAGAAUAACAGUGAACUUGGGUCUGCUUCCUGCCCACCUUUCUUGCUAUCUCUGGAACUGCCUUCAGAUUUAGACAGUUUGAAUAUUACCAGCUCCUAGGAACCAUUUGACAGGAAUGCUAAGGUUCUCAGAAAAGAGUUAGUUGUCAAAGGCUUUCUCUAGUCACAUGACUGGGUUGAUAAGUUUAAAUGUAGCCAAGUGUUUCUCAAGUGUAUUUGGAAUAUUUUAGGAUAUUCAAUCUCUCUCUGUCUCUCUGUCUCUCUCUCUCUCUCUGUCUCUGUCUCUCUCUCUGUCUCUGUCUCUCUGUCUCUGUCUCUCUGUCUCUCUGUCUCUCUGCCUCUCUCUGUCUCUCUCUCUUUCUCUGUCUCCCUGUCUUUGUCUCUCUCUUUCUCUCUCUCUGUCUCUCUGUGUGUGUGUGUGUGUGUGUGUGUGUGUGUAUGUCCUCUUUUUCUCACAGUUUGAGAAUUGGUCUUGGAAAAACUCUCUACAGAUUUUUUUUGGUUUUGUUUUGUUUUCGUUGUUGUUGUUUUUGUUUGUUUGUUUGUUUGUUUGUUUUUUGAUACAGGGUUUCUCUGUGUAGCCCUGGCUGGCCUGAAACUCACUCUCUAGACCAGGCUGGCCUCGAACUCAGAAAUCCACCUGCCUCUGCCUCCCAAGAUUCUACAGCUUACAUUGCUAACUACAAAAAUCAGCAUAGAGAGUUUUUCCAAGACCAGUUCUGCAGUUAUCUGUGAUCAGCAGUAUCGGGGAUCACCUCGGAUCCAGAGCAUCUAUCUAGUCAAGGCAUGGGCAAUUGGUUUACUUUGUAUGCUGACUCCUCCUGCAGGGUUAGUCUGAAAGUAACUUCCGUCCUGCAAAGCCCCUGGGUAAGCUGGAUGUGAAUGGUGCAUAAGAAACAAGCCUUGUGGAAGGAAUCCCAGAAAAGUGGCGGAAGUUCUGAUGGAUUAGUUCACUGGAUUCACUGACACAUGAUGCUUGCAAAGGAACUGGAGGCCAGAUAAGUGUGGCAAGACUGACUUGAAGACAAGAAAACAGGUUAUUUAAGGUUUGGGACCAUGACUUGUUUGACAGUCUUCACAAAUUACAACAUCUCAGGCAGAGUUUUGUUCUAUUUGAAAAUCAUUAUGGACUACAAAUGUGAUCAGGAAGGGGGCUGUUGUGGGGAGACAUUUGCAGAGGAAGUGACUUCAAGGUGCAUGCUGAAGGAUGAAUCAAAUGAGGAAAUCAUCAGAACAAUGUGUACAAGAUGAAGAGACAGCAAAGAAGGUGCCACAGCUUUGUUAGACCUAAAAUGAAGAUGGAAGAUAGCAUCUUUUGAGAUUUGACAGACAAGGACCCAUACAUGCAAAAACAUGUAUUUUCUGCUGCAGUUGAGCAAUGUUUAUAUCAAGAGGCCCUUUGUCUUAACCAGUUUGCUCUGCUAGAAUAGGAUCUGAUAUCUAGGGUCGGUAAAAACAGAACAUUCAUUUCUUAUAGAUCCAGACGCUCAAAGUUCAAAGUCAAAGUUCUGACAGAC
rnacentral:lncRNA from 1 species